rnacentral:rRNA from 1 species
GAUUAACGCUGGCGGCGUGCCUAACACAUGCAAGUCGAGCGGCAGCGAGUUUUACACUGAAUUCUGGAAGCUUCUAGUUGAAAGAGAAGAUUUAUUCAAGAAUUUUGUGUAAAAUGUCGGCGAGCGGCGGACGGCUGAGUAACGCGUGGGAACGUACCCCAAAGUGAGGGAUAACGCAUCGAAAGGUGUGCUAAUACCGCAUACGGUCUUCGGAUUAAAGCCUUCGGGCGCUUUGGGAACGGCCUGCGUAAGAUUAGAUAGUUGGUGGGGUAAUGGCCUACCAAGUCGACGAUCUUUAACUGGUUUGAGAGGAUGAUCAGUCAGACUGGAACUGAGACACGGUCCAGACUCCUACGGGAGGCAGCAGUGAGGAAUCUUCCACAAUGGGCGAAAGCCUGAUGGAGCAACGCCGCGUGCAGGAUGAAGGCCUUCGGGUUGUAAACUGCUUUUAUAAGUGAGGAUUAUGACAGUAACUUAUGAAUAAGGAUCGGCUAACUACGUG